rnacentral:rRNA from 1 species
CCUACGGGAGGCUGCAGUGAGGAAUAUUGGUCAAUGGACGAGAGUCUGAACCAGCCAAGUAGCGUGAAGGAUGACUGCCCUAUGGGUUGUAAACUUCUUUUAUAAAGGAAUAAAACGAGGCACGUGUGCCUUUUUGCAUGUACUUUAUGAAUAAGGAUCGGCUAACUCCGUGCCAGCAGCCGCGGUAAUACGGAAGAUCCGAGCGUUAUCCGGAUUUAUUGGGUUUAAAGGGAGCGUAGAUGGGUUGUUAAGUCAGUUGUGAAAGUUUGCGGCUCAACCGUAAAAUUGCAAUUGAUACUGGCAGUCGUGAGUACAGUUGAGGUAGGCGGAAUUCGUGGUGUAGCGGUGAAAUGCUUAGAUAUCACGAAGAACCCCGAUUGCGAAGGCAGCUUACUAAACUGUGACUGACAUUGAUGCUCGAAAGUGUGGGUAUCAAACAGGAUUAGAUACCCGGGUAGUC